rnacentral:rRNA from 1 species
AUUGAACGCUGGCGGCAGGCCUAACACAUGCAAGUCGAGCGGGGUUUUCGGGCCUAGCGGCGGACGGGUGAGUAAUGCGUAGGAAGCUACCCGAUAGAGGGGGAUACCAGUUGGAAACGACUGUUAAUACCGCAUAAUGUCUACGGACCAAAGUGUGGGACCUUCGGGCCACAUGCUAUCGGAUGCGCCUACGUGGGAUUAGCUAGUUGGUGAGGUAAUGGCUCACCAAGGCGACGAUCCCUAGCUGGUUUGAGAGGAUGAUCAGCACACUGGAACUGAGACACGGUCCAGACUCCUACGGGAGGCAGCAGUGGGGAAUAUUGGACAAUGGGCGCAAGCCUGAUCCAGCCAUGCCGCGUGUGUGAAGAAGGCCUUCGGGUUGUAAAGCACUUUCAGCGAGGAGGAAGGGGUGAGUGUUAAUAGUACUCAUCUUUGACGUUACUCGCAGAAGAAGCACCGGCUAACUCUGUGCCAGCCGCCGCAGUAACAC